GCGCAGUGAUGCGUGAGGGUAAGCGGUACGAAUGAACCAUGAGGCUUAACCUUAGAACGCGGAAG
rnacentral:rRNA from 1 species